rnacentral:rRNA from 1 species
CCUACGGGAGGCAGCAGUGAGGAAUAUUGGUCAAUGGGCGGGAGCCUGAACCAGUCAAGCCGCGUGAAGGAAGAAGGCGCCAGGCGUCGUAAACUUCUUUUGUCGGGGAACAAAGGGCGCCACGUGUGGCGUUGUGAGUGUACCCGAAGAAAAAGCAUCGGCUAACUCCGUGCCAGCAGCCGCGGUAAUACGGAGGAUGCGAGCGUUAUCCGGAUUUAUUGGGUUUAAAGGGUGCGUAGGCGGUCCGGAAAGUCAGCGGUAAAAGCCCGGGGCUCAACCCCGGCGAGCCGUUGAAACUGUCGGACUAGAGACGGCGAGAAGUACGCGGAAUGUGUGGUGUAGCGGUGAAAUGCAUAGAUAUCACACAGAACACCGAUUGCGAAGGCAUCUCACGAAUCCGCGAUUGACGCUGAUGCACGAAAGCGUGGGUAUCAAACAGGAUUAGAUACCCUAGUAGUC